rnacentral:rRNA from 1 species
GUGGGGAAUUUUGGACAAUGGGGGCAACCCUGAUCCAGCCAUCCCGCGUGUGCGACGAAGGCCUUCGGGUUGUAAAGCACUUUUGGCAGGAAAGAAAUUGCCUGGGUUAAUACCCUGGGUAGAUGACGGUACCUGCAGAAUAAGCACCGGCUAACUACGUGCCAGCAGUCGCGGUAAUACGUAGGGUGCAAGCGUUAAUCGGAAUUACUGGGCGUAAAGCGUGCGCAGGCGGUUCGGAAAGAAAGAUGUGAAAUCCCAGGGCUUAACCUUGGAACUGCAUUUUUAACUACCGGGCUAGAGUGCGUCAGAGGGAGGUGGAAUUCCGCGUGUAGCAGUGAAAUGCGUAGAUAUGCGGAGGAACACCGAUGGCGAAGGCAGCCCCCUGGGAUGACACUGACGCUCAUGCACGAAAGCGUGGGGAGCAAACAGGAUUAGAAACCCCUGUAGUCC